rnacentral:rRNA from 1 species
GGUGAACGCUGGCGGCGUGCUUAAGACAUGCAAGUCGAACGGGCUCUUCGGAGCCAGUGGCGCAAGGGUGAGUAACGCGUAACUUAACUACCCCAAAGUCGCGGAUAACGAUUCGCAAGAAUCGCUAAUACGUGAUGUACUGUCAGAUCCUUUUCUGCCAGUAAAGAUUUAUUGCGUUGGGAUGGGGUUGCGUUCCAUCAGCUAUUUCGUGAGGUAAAGUCCCUCUAAGGCGACGAAGGGUCGCCGGCCAGAGAGGGUGGCAGGCAACAGGGGCACUGAGACACGGGUGCCACUCCUACGGGAGGCAGCAGUCAGGAAUCUUACACAAUGGGCGAAAGCCUGAUGGAGCGACGGCGCGUCAGGGAUGAAGGUCUUCGGAUCGUAAACCUCUAAAUCAGGGACGAAAGACGCGAAAGCGGGAUGACGGUACUUGAGUAAGAGCACCGGCUAACUCCGUG